rnacentral:lncRNA from 1 species
AGCAGGGUAGCUGAACAUCUUACGGAUGGCCCAGGGCUCCAAAGGCUUGUUUCCUAAGUGAGAGAGAGCCCGGCUGAAGCUCUAUUACCAUUCAUUCUCUAGCCUCCGAAGUCUCAAAGCAUCACUUCCACCAUACUCUAAUUGUCAAGACAAACACAAAGUCCUAGAAACUGCCAGACUGUCUUCCGAAGUGGCUAUAAUAUUUACACUCCCAUCAGCAGUGUAGAUGGGGGUCUCACUACGUUGUCUGGAGUGCAGUGGCUAGAGUGGAGUGGCUAUUCACAGAGCCAGUUCUGCUGCGACACAGAAUCACUUGCUCCAUCUAAUACAUUGAUGAUGAUUAAUUUGUAUGUGUACCUUCCAAAAAAGAUGGUCGUGUUUGAACGGAGGCCUUCUGGACAGGAAAAUAUGGAGAGUGCAUGCUUUGGAUUCAAGACUGGGAAUGAGGGACCAGAAACCUGUUCUGUGGCUGUUUGUUGUUAGGACUUUCCUAAGCCUCUGGAAAAGACUAAUCUUUCCAAGUUCAUCUGAGGCUCCUCUUCUCCAUGACAACCUCAUCCAGGGAUUUCUUCCUGUCCUGGUGUUUU